CGCGUAUGACAGUCUCCGGAAGACGGUUGUUGCGCACGUAUUCGGUGAACGCACUAUGGCGACGCUGGGGCGUCUUAUGAGCCUGCUGUCACCCUUUGACGUGGUGAUAUGGAUGACGGAUGGCUGGCCGCUGUAUGAAUCCCGCCUGAAGGGAAAGCUGCACGUAAUCAGCAAGCGAUAUACGCAGCGAAUUGAGCGGCAUAACCUGAAUCUGAGGCAGCACCUGGCACGGCUGGGACGGAAGUCGCUGUCGUUUUCAAAAUCGGUGGAGCUGCAUGACAAAGUCAUCGGGCAUUAUCUGAACAUAAAACACUAUCAAUAAGUU
rnacentral:rRNA from 1 species